GUAGGUGGCAAGCGUUGUCCGGAAUUAUUGGGCGUAAAGCGCGCGCAGGCGGUUCUUUAAGUCUGAUGUGAAAGCCCACGGCUCAACCGUGGAGGGUCAUUGGAAACUGGAGAACUUGAGUACAGAAGAGGAAAGCGGAAUUCCACGUGUAGCGGUGAAAUGCGUAGAGAUGUGGAGGAACACCAGUGGCGAAGGCGGCUUUCUGGUCUGUAACUGACGCUGAGGCGCGAAAGCGUGGGGGGAGCAAACAGGAUUAGAUACCCUGGUAGUCCACGCCGUAAACGAUGAGUGCUAAGUGUUAGGGGGUUUCCGCCCCUUAGUGCUGCAGCUAACGCAUUAAGCACUCCGCCCUGGGAGUACGGCCGCAAGGCUG
rnacentral:rRNA from 1 species